rnacentral:rRNA from 1 species
AUGCAAGUCGCACGAGAAAGGGGAGCAAUCCCUGAGUAAAGUGGCGCACGGGUGAGUAACACGUGAAUGAUCUACCUCCGAGUGGGGAAUAACUGAGAGAAAUCUUAGCUAAUACCGCAUAACACUUACGAGUCAAAGCAGCAAUGCGCUUGGAGAGGAGUUCGCGGCCGAUUAGUUAGUUGGCGGGGUAAUGGCCCACCAAGACGAUGAUCGGUAUCCGGCCUGAGAGGGCGCACGGACACACUGGAACUGAAACACGGUCCAGACUCCUACGGGAGGCAGCAGUGGGGAAUUUUGCGCAAUGGGGGAAACCCUGACGCAGCAACGCCGCGUGGAGGAUGAAAUAUCUUGGUAUGUAAACUCCUUUCGAUGGGGAAGAUUAUGACGGUACCCAUAGAAGAAGCCCCGGCUAACUUCGUGCCAGCAGCCGCGGUAAUACGAGGGGGGCAAGCGUUGUUCGGAUUUAUUGGGCGUAAAGGGUGCGUAGGCGGUUUGGCAAGUCUGAUGUGAAAUCUAUGGGCUCAACCCAUAGUCUGCAUCAGAAACUGCCGGGCUUGAGUAUGGGAGAGGUGAGUGGAAUUUCCGGUGUAGCGGUGAAAUGCGUAGAUAUCGGAAGGAACACCUGUGGCGAA